ensembl:lncRNA
AGUAAUUGCACAGCUGACAGAACCUCUCUUGUUACCUCUUAGGAAUGACCAUAAUUUAUAGCCUGCAAUGCCAAUGGGGGUCUCCCAGUGAACAUACAGCUACUCUGGGUGCAUUUCAGCGAGUCAUCUCGGGGCUAAAGACCUUCUCGUAUUUACCUUCUCGGGAAAACACAGAGUUCCUUGUUUGAGGAGAAUGAACAUCACUGAUAAGGAGUUCUGUAUUUACUGAACUGUGUGCUCCUUUUUCCUUCCAGGUAUCUACUGGUUUCCUGCCUUGACAGUUUGGUGCCAUUUCCUGAGACCUCCAAUUCUUCUCCCAGGUGCUGGUUCCAGCCUUGAGGUGACCAUGAGCAAAGCUGUCACUAUGGAGGCUCCCUCAUUCUAAAAAGAAGAAUUGUUUAUUUUUUCUGAAAAAACUCUCUAGGCCAUUCAUUUUAAGGCAAGGUAGGCUCUGGGCUCAGGAUCCUCUGGGCUAUAGACUUUAGAAUCUAGAAGCCCUGUAAUGGGGUAGGCAGGAAGAUGUAUCUCUGAACUUUGUGAACCUUGGUGAGAAGGUGAGGAGCUGAAGGCUCAUGGGUGACUAAAUGCUGCCAAAUCUGGAGGAAUCUGAGGGUCUCCAGGGAUUGUCAGUAUACUUAAGAGGCUUCCAUGUCCUCUGCUUUCUGAUAGAGAUAAACAUAUACAGAAGAAGCACUGAAGAAAGUUCAUUACGUUCAUCUUCAGGACCAGACAAUGGAAAGAAAGAUCUGGGGGCCAGCUCUGACCAGGGGGACAAAAGUCACCCAAGGUCACCCAAAGAGAGACACCUAGUCAUGGCAAAAUUUCUCUGAAGCAUUCAUCUUCUGUUCCUGCAUGGGUGUUAAAAACUCAAGUCCUGAUUUCUGUAAACUGGCAAACUCCCCACCCACUUGGUACCCAGGGCAGUGGCCUUUGGCUGGUGCUCUUACUGCUCUGGUGUUCAUUAAGUUCCUUCUACAUUUUGGGCCCCUGGAGAUUUCCCUUAAUUUUUUGGUGAGCUCACCUAUGCAUUUACAGGAAUGUUCGUUACGUAUAUCUAGUACUUCUAGCUGUUCUGUUGUGGGCAGUUUCUACGUAAUCACAUCCUCCAUAUUGCCAGAAAUGAAGUCUUUGGAAUCUAAUGUAAAGGGGAUGGAAAAAGAUCAACAAUGGACACCUUUUCUUGCUCUUAGCAGGGAGGGUCAGGCAUUGGUGAAGUCCUGAAUCAGGGUCUUCGAGGAAGCAGUACUUUCUCUCAGUCUUCUCCUCAGCAUGGAUAGAAGCAAAUCAUAUGAAGACCCUGCUUUGACAGUUCAGCAUAUGUGAGCUUGUGACCAGAGGCAAAUGGCCAGAGCCACUGAUCCAACCGUGGAUGCCAGAAUGAUGUCCCAAGGCUCAAAUGGGGCCAUCGACACCUCAGGGAUGAGAUCCAACAACUUGCUCCGUGGUACAGACCAGUGAGGACCAGAGGAUGUCACUCAGAAAAGCCUCCUGAGCUCUGAAGAGAUGCAUGGAGAAUUCCAUUUUACCGAGUCAAGAGGAUCAAUUAAAAUGCCACGUCUGCUAGGUUUAAGGUGAAAUAGAGCCCCUGGAGAUUCAG